CCGCGACAACAUAAAAUAUAGACGCUGAACCCGUCGUCCAAUUCGAGAAGGUGAUCAAGAAGAAAUUGAAUUGUUCUUCCUUAUAAAUCCUCCAGAGUACUUUGUUAGCUUUACGUAAUUUAAUAAACUCUGUAUAUGAUCAAAUUGAGAAAGAAAAUGGGGAAUGUGUCAAAGCGACAACAACCCGACCAUAGAGCAGACAACAGACGAAGGCCACCAAUGGGUCUUCAAUGUAGCGAGAAACUCCCGCAUCCGUAGGCGUCCUUCAGCUGGCC
rnacentral:lncRNA from 1 species